GGGACGAACGCUGGCGGCGCGCCUAACACAUGCAAGUCGAGCGAUAACCAGGGGCUUGCCCUUGGGGACAGCGGCGAACGGGUGCGUAACACGUGAGCAACCUGCCCCGAAGACCGGGACAACCCGAGGAAACUCGGACUAAUACCGGAUGUCCUCACCGGAUCGCAUGGUCUGGUGAGGAAAUGGAUUCCGCUUCGGGAUGGGCUCGCGGUCUAUCAGCUUGUUGGUGGGGUAACGGCCUACCAAGGCGACGACGGAUAGCUGGUCUGAGAGGACGAUCAGCCACACUGGGACUGAGACACGGCCCAGACUCCUACGGGAGGCAGCAGUGGGGAAUCUUGCGCAAUGGGGGAAACCCUGACGCAGCGACGCCGCGUGCGGGAUGAAGGCCUUCGGGUUGUAAACCGCUUUCAGCAGGGACGAAAUUGACGGUACCUGCAGAAGAAGGCCCGGCCAACUACGUGCCAGCAGCCGC
rnacentral:rRNA from 1 species